GUGGGGAAUAUUGGGCAAUGGGCGAAAGCCUGACCCAGCAACGCCGCGUGAAGGAAGAAGGUUUUCGGAUCGUAAACUUCUAUCCUUGGUGAAGAUAAUGACGGUAGCCAAGAAGGAAGCCCCGGCUAACUACGUGCCAGCAGCCGCGGUAAUACGUAGGGGGCAAGCGUUGUCCGGAAUGAUUGGGCGUAAAGGGCGCGUAGGCGGCCCGGUAAGUCUGAAGUGAAAGUGCUGCUUUUAAGGUGGGAAUUGCUUUGGAUACUGUCGGGCUUGAGUGCAGGAGAGGUAAGCGGAAUUCCCGGUGUAGCGGUGAAAUGCGUAGAGAUCGGGAGGAACACCAGUGGCGAAGGCGGCUUACUGGACUGUAACUGACGCUGAGGCGCGAAAGUGUGGGGAGCAAACAGGAUUAGAAACCCGAGUAGUCC
rnacentral:rRNA from 1 species